CCAUCGGUGGUUCAGUGGUAGAAUGCUCGCCUGCCACGCGGGCGGCCCGGGUUCGAUUCCUGGCUGAUGCA
rnacentral:tRNA from 1 species